CCUUCCUUGAGUUAGGAGGGCUUUGCUCUGUCCCCUGGCACGUCAGGGGUUGUGUCUGAGCCCCAUUACUAGCCCCCAACUGCUGCUUGUCCUGUUUGGGCUCUGUAGGACCCUGCCCUAGAGGCCCAGGCCUGGCUGCUGCCUCCUUCCCUAAGAGCAGCCAUGUUCCUGCUAGGCCUUGACAGGAAAUGAAGAGACAUUGAACUCCUUCAGACUUCAACAGCAAUGGGUUGAAAUAGUGAACAUGAUGUUCACUGAUGAACAAUUAUAAGACCUCUUUCUAUCUACUGCCUAUACAAAGCAGUAAUUAAAUAUUUCUAAUAACAAAACAGAGACAGAUAUAAUGAAUGCAUCAAGACUACAAAAGACACAUUGCAGCCUAUUCUAGUAUUAAUCCGGAGUGUUAUAAAACAAAAUCAAGGGAGAAGAUUAAUAUCUGUCAACUUCAUAAUGUGACCUAGUUUAUUUAGAAGACAUCUUUAUUCUCUUGGACAGAAGUAAGUGGCAUACCAGCAAUGUGACCAGUUUAGGACAAGCUCUAAGAAGUUAGACUGUACUGGGUUAUUUGUGGUUUUCACUGUAAAAGCUGUGUUGUUCCAGAUAAAACAAUUGUUGGACUGUUUUUUUGCUGAAACUCUCAUGACUGACAUAAUUGCUGAUGUAGCAGGACAAUAUGGGUUGAAGCCUUAACUGGUGGUUUUCUCUCCUCAAAGACGAGAAAAAUUUUAUUUCAAGGACUGCAA
rnacentral:lncRNA from 1 species